rnacentral:rRNA from 1 species
UACGUAGGGGGCAAGCGUUAUCCGGAAUCACUGGGUGUAAAGGGAGCGUAGACGGCUGUGCAAGCCUGAAGUGAAAGGCGGGGGCCCAACCCCGGGACUGCUUUGGAAACUGUGUAACUGGAGUACAGGAGGGGCAGGCGGAAUUCCUGGUGCAGCGGUGAAAUGCGUAGAUAUCAGGAGGAACACCGGCGGCGAAGGCGGCCUGCUGGACUGAAACUGACGUUGAGGCUCGAAAGCGUGGGGAGCAAACAGG